rnacentral:rRNA from 1 species
GACGAACGCUGGCGGCGUGCUUAACACAUGCAAGUCGAACGGAAAGGCCCUGCUUUUGUGGGGUGCUCGAGUGGCGAACGGGUGAGUAACACGUGAGUAACCUGCCCUUGACUUUGGGAUAACUUCAGGAAACUGGGGCUAAUACCGGAUAGGAGCUCCUGCUGCAUGGUGGGGGUUGGAAAGUUUCGGCGGAUGGGGAUGGACUCGCGGCUUAUCAGCUUGUUGGGGGGGUAGUGGCUUACCAAGGCUUUGACGGGUAGCCGGCCUGAGAGGGUGACCGGCCACAUUGGGACUGAGAUACGGCCCAGACUCCUCCGGGAGGCAGCAGUCGGGAAUAUUGCACAAUGGGCGGAAGCCUGAUGCAGCAACGCCGCGUGCGGGAUGACGGCCUUCGGGUUGUAAACCGCUUUCGCCUGUGACGAAGCGUGAGUGACGGUAAUGGGUAAAGACGCACCGGCUAACUACGUG